rnacentral:tRNA from 2 species
GUUCCUAUAGUUGAAUAACAACGGUGGCGUUUCAAGUCAUUGGUCUUGGUUAGAGCCCAAGUGGGAAUU